rnacentral:lncRNA from 1 species
CUCUGUUAGCUGGAUAUUCUAACUUUAUCAACAUACAUACUGAGCAAAUUGACACUUUCACCCACACUCAAAACCUGCUGUAGAGCCCGCAUUUUAACCUGGGCUUCUAGACCUUCAUGCAUUGCCGAACUAAUUUCUGAAUACAAAAGAAAGAAAUAUGAAGAGCUUUCUAUAAAUAGCAAUCCAGAACUGUCAAAACCUAAGGGUAAUGUGUGAGAAAAACUGUGGUCUUCUUAUCUGCUCCUUGUGGAAAUACUUAGUUUGUACUGAAAUCCCUGAUAAGUUCUUCUGGAUGCAUUCUGAAACAAAAGUCUGGCAGCAGUAACUGGAACCAGAUUGUCCAAAGCACAUACAUCCCAACUCCCUCCAACAUGGAAUCAUAACACAGCCACAUUUCGAGAGUUUCAAGUUUCAAUUGGAAGUAGUCUACAGACGAGCAGUUUGGAGAAGCUGACAUCUUUUAUAUAAUGUUAUGGAGAAAAAUAUAAGUGUGUUCUCAGAAACAAC